UACAGAGGUGGCAAGCGUUGUUCGGAAUUACUGGGCGUAAAGGGCGCGUAGGCGGCUAUCUAAGUCAGACGUGAAAUCCCCCGGCUUAACCUGGGAACUGCGUCUGAUACUGGACGGCUUGAGUAUGGGAGAGGGAUGUAGAAUUCCAGGUGUAGCGGUGAAAUGCGUAGAUAUCUGGAGGAAUACCGGUGGCGAAGGCGGCAUCCUGGACCAUUACUGACGCUGAUGCGCGAAAGCUAGGGGAGCAAACGGG
rnacentral:rRNA from 1 species